GGAGGUGUAGCCCAGGAGUAGAGCAUUUGACUGGAGACCAGUAGGUCCCUGGUUCAAAUCUGGCUAUUUCUA
rnacentral:tRNA from 1 species